GCCGGUGUAGCUCAGUCGGUAGAGCACAGGACUCUUAAUCCUGUGGUCGCGGGUUCGAGCCCCGUCACCGGUA
rfam:Spironucleus salmonicida unplaced genomic scaffold scf7180000020668, whole genome shotgun sequence.